rnacentral:rRNA from 1 species
CAGUCGCCGCGGGAAAACGGAGGGUGCAAGCGUUAAUCGGAAUUACUGGGCGUAAAGCGCACGCAGGCGGUCUGACAAGUCAGAUGUGAAAUCCCCGGGCUUAACCUGGGAACUGCAUUUGAAACUGUCAGGCUGGAGUCUUGUAGAGGGGGGUAGAAUUCCAGGUGUAGCGGUGAAAUGCGUAGAGAUCUGGAGGAAUACCGGUGGCGAAGGCGGCCCCCUGGACAAAGACUGACGCUCAGGUGCGAAAGCGUGGGGAGCAAACAGGAUUAGAUACCCGCGUAGUCCCUGUCUCUUAUAC